rnacentral:rRNA from 1 species
GACGAACGCUGGCGGCGUGCCUAAUACAUGCAAGUCGAACGCAGUGGGGACGGGUGAGUAACACGUGGGUAACCUCCCAUCCGAGGGGAUAACACUUGGAAACAGGUGCUAAACCGAUACUGAUGGAUGGACCCGCGGUGCAUUAGCUAGUUGGUGGGGUAACGGCUUACCAAGGCGACGAUCCCUAGCUGGUUUGAGAGGAUGACCAGCCACAUUGGAACUGAGACACGGCCCAGACUCCUACGGGAGGCAGCAGUGGGGAAUAUUCCACAAUGGGCGCAAGCCUGAUGGAGCAAUGCCGCGUGUAUGAAGAAGGUUUUCGGGUCGUAAAGUACUUUCAGUGGGGAGGCGUUACCCGAAGAGGAAGCACCGGCUAACUACGUGCCAGCCGCCGCGGUAAUAC